CUUCAACCAUUAAGGUUGUGUAAAGUGUUUGAUGGUGUCCGUCACCUCCACCUCCAUUAAGAGUUUUGAGGCCAGAAGCAGCAGUAACUAAUUGUGUGAUACAGCUAUCUAAAUCUGUAUUUAAAACAAGAAUGGCUGUAGAACAGUAAAUGUAGAAUUGGCUAUUUACUUUAAUGCCAUGUCCUAGAUAUUUGAAGGACACUGCUCAGAAUGAGCUGUUAUUUCUGUCUUAUGGUACCAUUUUUUCCAAUUAUACUUCAGGUUUUCUGGAAGAUAUUCUGAAGAGAAUAAUGGUUGCAAGCAAUGAGGAUGAUGGAUCUCACAGGAUUCAAACUGAUAUCUUUAUAAAAAAGAACAUUGUAAAACGUGAAUCUUCUCCAGGAAAUCCAGGAUCCUCAGGCUUCUGGAGUUCCUGCUGUUUCUGCUCAUGUCAUUGUGACAUUUCCCAUGGAAUCCAGCUCUGGACUUCAGGUGUAAGAAAACAUCCUCCUCUGGAUGCCACUUCAGUGAACAAUUUAUUGUGGGGAAAGGAGAGGAGUCAUUGUUCUUCUAAGCUUUACUAUCUGUGACAGUCACUAAACAGUGAGUAGCACUGUUUUUUUCAAGUCCACAAAAGGAGAGCAAUUGUGGUAGACCAAGAAGUGAUAGUAAGACCACUGACUCAUGAUUACUAUCAGCAGUAUUUUUUAGACCUCUAGUCCUCUUUGCCUGUUGCAACCCCAAAAUAGAGCAGUUGGUGGAAUCUGAAUUCUUUCAGAGUCCUCUGUGAGUAAACCAGCAGUAGCAAAUCUCGUUCCCUUCUGGGAACAGCCAAAGCAGAGAAUACAAAGUAAUAAUGCUCUGUCUGCCCUUCAUGAUCAAUCCAGAGGAGCAACCUCUUCCUUCUCAUGGGUGUUCAUUUGCAGGAGGAUAGAAUGUCUUGUGAAGGAUUCCAUUUCCACUGCAAACAUGACUUUGGCCAUAACCAGGAGCGUCAUAUGUAUUUCAGUAGAUCCCUUCAGGAUCUCACUGAAAUUUGGGUUCAUUUUUUUGUCAGGAAUCAUGUUACCUCUCCUCAAGGGACAGUCUUGCUGUGGUUUUCCUGCAGUUCCUUCAAUUACUAGUGCAAGAACACUGGUGAGAUCUUUAUCCUGUUUAUCAUGCUGUACUUGAGGCUAGGAGGAUGCAGA
rnacentral:lncRNA from 1 species